UGGGGAAUUUUGCACAAUGGGCGCAAGCCUGAUGCAGCAACGCCGCGUGUGUGAUGAAGGUCUUCGGAUCGUAAAGCACUUUCGACCGGGACGAACAAGCUACUCCUAACACGAGUGGCCCUGACGGUACCGGGAGAAGAAGCACCGGCUAACUCUGUGCCAGCAGCCGCGGUAAUACAGAGGGUGCAAGCGUUGUUCGGAAUUAUUGGGCGUAAAGCGCGGGUAGGCGGCUUGAAAAGUCGGGUGUGAAAGCCCUCAGCUCAACUGAGGAAGUGCGCCCGAAACUCUCGAGCUUGAGUGCCGGAGAGGAUGGCGGAAUGCCCCAAGUAGAGGUGAAAUUCGUAGAUAUGGGGCGGAACACCGGUGGCGAAGGCGGCCAUCUGGACGGUAACUGACGCUGAGCCGCGAAAGCGUGGGUAGCAAACAGGAUUAGAUACCCCCGUAGUCC
rnacentral:rRNA from 1 species